AGUCGAUUCGAUUUACCUUCGGGUAUUGAGGAUGGCGGACGGGUGAGUAACGCGUAAGGAACUUGCCUCUUGGACUGGGACAACUGUUGGAAACGACAGCUAAUACCGGAUAUUAUGAGAUUCUCGCAUGAGAAACUUAUGAAAGCUAUAUGCGCCAAGAGAGAGCCUUGCGUUCCAUUAGCUAGUUGGUGGGGUAACGGCCCACCAAGGCGACGAUGGAUAGCCGGCCUGAGAGGGUGAACGGCCACAAGGGGACUGAGACACGGCCCUUACUCCUACGGGAGGCAGCAGUGGGGAAUAUUGGACAAUGGACCAAAAGUCUGAUCCGGCAAUUCUGUGUGCACGAUGAAGGUCUUCGAUUGUAAAGUGCUUUCAGUUGGGAAGAAGAAAGUGACGGUACCAACAAAGAAGCACGGCUAAAUACGUGCCCCCGCGGUAAUACGUAUGUCGCAAGCGUUAUCCGGUUUAUUGGGCGUAAA
rnacentral:rRNA from 1 species